UCGCAACUGACACCAAGUGUUUCGUCGUCAAUAUGACUCAUCAUCUGAAUAUCCUCACUUUGCUUUUCAACUUGGUUAUUUUUAUUUUCUAUAUAAAUGUGCGUCUUAACUAUUUGAAUCCUAGUAACUCCUUGACGAGUCGACGAUACAAACGUAUUCAAAGGAUUCAAAAUACCGUUUAUCUCCAACGUACGAUUCCGCUCUGUAUUGACUUUUGGCGUCAAUUGAAUAUCAAAUGGGUCAUUCAACGUCAGAUCAGCUGCCGGGUGUAAACGUCGACAUUUCUGAUUUCGCUGACUCCUUUACAAGAUUAUUAGAACAACCUUCACAGUAUGUCUCUGAUCAAUUUAAAUCGUGAGAUAAAAACUGUGUAUAAAUCGACGAAUAACAAUAAUAUGAAACCACUGUAAAUCCUUGGCCCAAAGAACAGGCAACAAAAUCUGACUUUUA